rnacentral:rRNA from 1 species
UACGUAGGCAGCAAGCGUUGUUCGGAAUUACUGGGCGUAAAGAGUGUGUAGGCGGUGUUCCAAGUUUGUCGUGAAAUCUCCCGGCUUAACUGGGAGGGUGCGGCGAAAACUGGAAUGCUAGAGGAUGGGAGAGGUAAGCGGAAUUCCUGGUGUAGCGGUGAAAUGCGUAGAUAUCAGGAGGAACACCUGUGGUGUAGACAGCUUACUGGACCAUUUCUGACGCUGAGACACGAAAGCGUGGGUAGCAAACAGG